CCUACGGGAGGCAGCAGUGAGGAAUAUUGGUCAAUGGCCGGAAGGCUGAACCAGCCAUGCCGCGUGAAGGUCAGUGCCCUAUGGGCGUUAAACUUCUUUUGUGCGGGAGUAAUAAUGGUCACGUGUGGCCAGACGAGAGUGCCGUACGAAUAAGCAUCGGCUAACUCCGUGCCAGCAGCCGCGGGAAUACGGGGGAUGCAAGCGUUAUCCGGAUUUAUUGGGUUUAAAGGGUGCGUAGGCUGUGAGGUAAGUCAGCGGUGAAAUGCCCCCGCUCAACGGGGUGAAGUGCCAUUGAUACUGCCUGGCUGGAAUGCGGAUGCAGUGGGAGGAAUGUGUGGUGUAGCGGUGAAAUGCAUAGAUAUCACACAGAACACCGAUUGCGAAGGCAUCUCACGAAUCCGUGAUUGACGCUGAUGCACGAAAGCGUGGGUAUCAAACAGGAUUAGAUACCCCAGUAGUC
rnacentral:rRNA from 1 species